rnacentral:rRNA from 1 species
AUGCAAGUCGAACGGUAACAGGGAGCUUGCUCCGCUGACGAGUGGCGAACGGGUGAGUAAUGCGUCGGAACGUGCCGAGUAAUGGGGGAUAACUAUCCGAAAGGAUAGCUAAUACCGCAUACGCUCUGAGGAGGAAAGCGGGGGACCUUUGGGCCUCGCGUUAUUCGAGCGGCCGACGUCUGAUUAGCUAGUUGGUGAGGUAAGAGCUCACCAAGGCGACGAUCAGUAGCGGGUCUGAGAGGAUGAUCCGCCACACUGGGACUGAGACACGGCCCAGACUCCUACGGGAGGCAGCAGUGGGGAAUUUUGGACAAUGGGCGCAAGCCUGAUCCAGCCAUGCCGCGUGUCUGAAGAAGGCCUUCGGGUUGUAAAGGACUUUUGUCAGGGAGGAAAUCCCGGUUGUUAAUACCGACCGGGGAUGACAGUACCUGAAGAAUAAGCACCGGCUAACUACGUGCCAGCAGCCGCGGUAAUACGUAGGGUGCAAGCGUUAAUCGGAAUUACUGGGCGUAAAGCGUGCGCAGGCGGUUGUGCAAGUCUGAUGUGAAAGCCCCGGGCUCAACCUGGGAACUGCAUUGGAGACUGCACGGCUAGAGUGCGUCAGAGGGGGGUAGAAUUCCACGUGUAG